rnacentral:rRNA from 1 species
GGAACUGCCGGUGAUAAACCGGAGGAAGGUGGGGAUGACGUCAAAUCAUCACGGCCCUUAUGUCCAGGGCUACACACGUGCUACAAUGGCCGGUACAAAGCGUUGCAAACCUGCGAAGGGGAGCCAAUCGCAAAAAACCGGUCUCAGUUCAGAUUGCAGUCUGCAACUCGACUGCAUGAAGCUGGAAUCGCUAGUAAUCGUGGAUCAGAACGCCACGGUGAAUACGUUCCCGGGCCUU